GACGAACCGAGCGAACGUUGUUCGGAAUCACUGGGCGUAAAGCGCACGUAGGCGGAUCUUUAAGUCAGGGGUGAAAUCCCGAGGCUCAACCUCGGAACUGCCUUUGAUACUGGGGAUCUCGAGUCCGGGAGAGGUGAGUGGAACUGCGAGUGUAGAGGUGAAAUUCGUAGAUAUUCGCAAGAACACCAGUGGCGAAGGCGGCUCACUGGCCCGGAACUGACGCUGAGGUGCGAAAGCGUGGGGAGCAAACAGG
rnacentral:rRNA from 1 species